rnacentral:misc_RNA from 1 species
AAUCAAUCAAACCUUGGUUUGGUAUUGGGAGAAGUGGCUCUGCCUCUCUCCUUUAAGCUAUUGGCGACACUAUUUCAGCUUGUAAGACGUAGUAAGUAAUAUUCUCGUUAAAGCAACUGUGUAGUCGUCUGCCAACUGAACGAUUUAUUUUAAA